GGGAGAUCGAGAUCCUGAAGCCGCGGGGCAGGCGGGCAGAUUCCAGGCCAGAAGGAACUAUUGUGAUAAUCUAAUCUGACUUCCUAUAUAAAACAUGCCAUAGAAUUUGCCUGAAAAAAUUCCUAGAGAAUAUCGUUUAGGAAAAAUCAAGUCUUGAUUUAAAAACUGCACAUGAUGAAGAAUCCACCUUGACCUUUGCUCUUCUUUGAAUCUGCUGCAGUUUAUCAACAACGCCUUGACUUGUGGAUGAUAGAACUGGACACAGUACUCCAGCAGCACUCACACCAGUGCCAACUACAGAGCUGUCCACUGGUUCUCAUCCAGACCAUUUCAGUUAUAUGCUGGGCAUAUCAGUCAACUGCACUUCCUUCAUCGAGUGAAAUAGUCAUAGAGCUGUGUAUUAUCCACACACUGUUGGAAUUAUAGUUCAAACAGUACACUAUUCGAAACCACAAGUGCUGUUCAUCGCAGGCCAGCUGCACAACAGUAACACUGUGCUAUGCUUCGAGAUGUCAUGGGAAAAACCUUUCGACUUCUGGGGUAUACCAUUCAAUAUGGCUGCAUAGCACACUGUGCCUUUGAGUACCUUGGAGGAAUUGUUGUGUGUUCUGGACCUUCAAUGGAACCAACAAUUCAAAAUUCUGACAUUGUCUUUUCGGAGAAUCUUAGCCGCCAUUUUUAUUGCAUUCAGAAAGGCGAUAUUGUAAUUGCAAAAAGCCCAAAUGACCCAAAAUCAAAUAUCUGUAAAAGAGUAAUUGGCUUGGAAGGAGACAAAGUCUGUAUAAGCAGUCCUUCAGAUUUCCGUAAGAGUCACAGUUAUGUGCCUAAAGGGCAUGUUUGGUUAGAAGGAGAUAAUCUCAGGAAUUCUACAGAUUCCAGGUGUUAUGGACCUGUUCCUUAUGGACUGAUAAGAGGACGCAUUUGCUUCAAGCUUUGGAAGCAAUCACUCUGGGUUCCCCACAGAAGGGUGAUCCUGGUCCCAGGCUGGCUGUCAAUCUUUGUUCUGCCUCCAGCCAGCAGGAAGAAUUACUACUAUAUUACCCUAUAAUACAGACUGUCAGAUAUGGAGGGUAUUAAAAAGAAGAUUGAGAAGUAAGAAGGAAAUGUUCCUAUUGCGGUAUCCUCAUCUCAACUAAAGAAUUAAAAGAUAUGGCCUCUGAAUGAUUUUGGAUUUCUGCGUGCUAGCCCCAAUGGUCACAGAUUUUUGGAUGAUUAAGAGAACUAAUAAGUGAAUUCUGCCAGUUUACUUAACUGUCUUACAAUGCUUUAAUA